GCCUGGGUGGCUCAGUCGGUUGAGCGUCCGACUUCAACUCAGGUGAUGAACUUACAGUUCAUGGGUUCCAGCCCCACGUCAGGCU
rnacentral:tRNA from 1 species